rnacentral:lncRNA from 1 species
GCCGGCCUCUUCUCUAAUCCUCCUUCGCUCUCCAUCUCGCUACUAUCUAGAUCUACUCUAGUUUAGAGAAGAGAGGAGAGCUCUCAUCUCUAAACCCUAGCUUUUGCUCUGUCUAUGAAUAAUGAAUAAUGAUCAAGGGGUGCCUCCUCCAGGGGCUAGGGGGUCUGGUUAUAUAGUCCCCUCAAGUGAACCUGGGCCGUCGGAUCAAACCGACAUUAAUUGAACGGUUAUUCUUGAUCCUUUAGGUCGGUGGAGCGUAAUCCCCGAAGAGAGUCCAGAUUGGACUCUGUAGCUGGGCGGGCGCCCAAGGGGGGUGGGCGGGCGCCUUGCCCCCGAGCCCGCUCGGCCUCCCGUUCGUUCCCGUGGCUUCUGGAGUCUUCUAGAUGUAAGAUAAUUGCGCGGGACGUUGAUAUCUCUAUGUAAUCCCGACGUGUGGGCCUUUCUUCCUUAUUUCCUGAUAACCCCCUGCAGAAAUAGACAAACACCAAAACUUGUGGAAUUCUGUCAGAUAAAACCCUAAGUUUAGAUGUUGGUUGUAUUUGGAUCCUUUUCUUAGUUUAUUUGCUGAUUAUAUUUGGUACUUAAGGACCGUCAACAACUCCCCCAAGCUUACCUCUUGCUCGUCCCUGAGCAAGGAUGGACUCAAGAGUUUCUACAGUGGUUUUAUGCCUUAAAGUUAUACAUGCGUUUAAACAAGAUCUCAUCUCUAGGUUAGGGUAAAUUGUUAAGAUUUAAAACUUACUCAUAUUACCUUUCACCACGCGGGCUUGCAACCGUCACUUGUGUCUUGAGCAGUUAAAAGAUAGAAUGGUCAAGUCAAGCACCAUGUCUCUUGUUCUUUGAUCAACUAUAGCUCUGGAGUUUUUGCAAAUUUUCAAAUAAAACUCAGAGAUUCCUUGUAUGACUCUCUCUAGUCUCUCUUUUGUGGUAUUUCUAGAUCAUUACCAAGGCAGUGAUAAUAUACGCCUUCUCUCAAAGUAUGUAGUAUUUGUGUUAUGAGGCAUAGUGAUAUUGCCUUCUCUCUCACCCUACUCUAACAAGGUUUGAUAUCUGGAGCUCAUAGGUGGGAAACAGCUAAUAGAUACUUACAAGACAUUUAUUGCAUAGUCAAACCAUGGAUCCAGAGAAACAAGUCAAUAAGUCAAACCAAGAUAUGCAUGUGUGGCGGAUGAAUAGUGUAUGGUGAUGAUAGUGAUAAUGGUGAAAAUAAUGGUGAAAGUCUAAUUCUACUUUUGCUCUUUUGAGGAGAUACAUACCUUUCUUGCACUUUGAAGGUUUUUGAGAGGAAUGAGAUGCUCUAUAUUUUCUUUUUCUUUUCUCUCAGGUGGGUAUCUUGUACCCCUAAUUCUAUUGUCGGACACUUGUCCAUUUUUACCUCUCGUCUCACUUUUUCUCUUUUUCUUUCGAGGUUCCAGGCACUUGCCCCUUUUUAUUUCCUCGUAUUUUUCUUCUUUUUUUCAGAGCACUCACCCUCCUGGAAUAAUGUAGCAAGUGGUAGUAACCAAAAUAACUUGAGCAUUUAUUUCCCAGGGAAAAAUAGGAAUGGGAUAAUGUUUUUGGCUAUUCUCUCCCGGAUAGGAGUAGAAUAAUUUUGGGUGAAUCUGGAGAUGGAAAUUUGUGGAUGUAUGUGGAUGCAUACUUCCGGAGUAGAAGCAACAUGUAUGAGUGGGCGUGCAAGUGAAUCUUGAUUAUAACCGCAUGACAAGCUCCUAAGGGUCUACAUAGCUUGACCACACUCAAUGAUCAUAAGCAGUAAAAAGUAAAUGUAUGGUUCAUAGUCUAAUAGGCAUGUAUAUAUAGCUGUGGUAGGAUUUUAAACUCUCAUCAUACAGGAACUCAUCAUGCAACAUUUUAAAUAUUUUCAAAGAUAAAAUUCUCCAGAUUUCUAGCAUCUCUAGGAACAGAUAAACAGCAGUUCAACCUUCCCAUAUCAUAUCUGUUAACGACAUAGACUUCAGAUCAAGUACUCUUCCCACAAGUUCAGGUUUUAGAGCAAAUUUUAAUUCAUAACAGUCAUACCUAAACUUGAGAGAGAUUUCACUUUUGAGAACUAGUCAUGGCAGAGCAACUAUUCAUCAUUUCCAUGUGAGAGCUUAUCAUGACGGUUCAUAGCAAACUUUAUUUGUUUAUUUAUUUAGCAAACUAAGAAAAGAUAUAUAUAUAUAAGCCUAAAAUCUUUAUUUGGGUUUUUAUGAUUAUGCAUCUUUUUAUUAUUUUAACAAAGUAUAAGUAUAAACGUAGAUAGAAAUACUUAGCUGGAUAAAUGGGGGUUGUAACACCCCAGUGUUAUGGUUG